CAAAUGCAAAUUCAGAAGUGGCAUCUGUUAGACUCUUCAUCAUAUCCAUCAUGUGUAAAUUACCAUGAUGGUGUGCCUGCUUCACCUCAGAGGUAGUAACAUUCUUCGAAGGGGGUACGUCAAGAGCUGGGUUGCGAAGGAAGAAAUUACGAGGACGUAAUAAAAGACGAAUGGGUUCUGCAGGCAUCAAUGGGAAAUCUUCAG